AGGGUUCGAUCCUGGCUCAGGACGAACGCUGGCGGCGUGCUUAACACAUGCAAGUCGAACGAACGUUAGCAAUAACGUGAGUGGCGGACGGGUGAGUAACGCGUGAGCAACCUGCCUUUGUCAGGGGAAUAACACAGAGAAAUUUGUGCUAAUACCGCAUAACAUUUCCACUCGGCAUCGAGAGGGAAUCAAAGAUUUAUCGGACAAAGAUGGGCUCGCGUCCCAUUAGGUAGUUGGUGAGGUAACGGCCCACCAAGCCGACGAUGGGUAGCCGACCUGAGAGGGUGAUCGGCCACAUUGGAACUGAGAAACGGUCCAG
rnacentral:rRNA from 1 species